GAAGCAUUGCAACUUUCUAACACCAUGUAACAAACGCGUGUUUAUGUUUAAAUUUUGAAUAAUUGGAAUCAAGCUGGAUAACAAAAGUGUUACCAAAUUAAAAACAAGCAGACCCAUCAGCCUUAUUUCUAAAAUAAGAUCAGAGCUCUUAUUUAGAAUAAGAGUUAGUGACUAGUCCCUCCACCACAUUGACACAUCUUAAUGUCCGAAGACAGAAACCACCUCCAUUUAUUUGAAGAAGCUUUUCAGAUUCCUAGAAUAGAGAAUAGGAACAUUUCUUUCUUAAAACUGAUGUUAAUUAUGUCAUGACUCCCUGAUUAAUGAUCCUUCACCUCAAUAUUCAAAUAUCAAUUAAAAAAUCACUUUCCCAGUCGCCUCUAUCCAUUCGGGCCUCCACUUAGACUAGUUUCUUGCAAU
rnacentral:lncRNA from 1 species